rnacentral:rRNA from 1 species
UACGUAGGGUGCAAGCGUUGUCCGGAAUUAUUGGGCGUAAAGAGUGCGUAGGUGGUUUAAUAAGUUAGUAGUGGUAAAUUGAGGCUCAACCUCAUGGAAAUUACUAAUACUAUUAAACUAGAGGAUCGGAGGGGUUAACGGAAUUCCAGGUGUAGCGGUGAAAUGCGUAGAUAUCGGGAAGAACACCCGUGGCGAAGGCGGUUCUCUGGGACGGUACUGACGCUGAGACGCGAAAGCGUGGGGAGCGAACAGG